UCUACGGGUGGCAGCAGUGGGGAAUAUUGCACAAUGGGGGAAACCCUGAUGCAGCGACGCCGCGUGAGUGAAGAAGUAUUUCGGUAUGUAAAGCUCUAUCAGCAGGGAAGAAACCCAACCUCCGGGGUGGCUGACGGUACCUGACUAAGAAGCCCCGGCUAACUCCGUGCCAGCAGCCGCGGUAAUACGUAGGGGGCACGCGUUAUCCGGAUUUACUGGGUGUAAAGGGAGCGUAGGAGGCAAGGCAAGUCAGAUGUGAAACCCCGGGGCCCAACCCCGGAAGUGCAUUUGAAACUGGCUGGCUAGAGUGCAGGAGAGGUAAGUGGAAUUCCUGGUGUAGCGGUGAAAUGCUUAGAUAUUAGGAGGAACACCAGUGGCGAAGGCGGCUUACUGGACUGUAACUGACACUGAGGCUCGAAAGCGUGGGGAGCAAACAGGAUUAGAUACCCGUGUAGUC
rnacentral:rRNA from 1 species